CUUACCUUAAGGGAAGGUGAGGAGCUCCUUUAUUCGGGGGAAUUUGGAGUAGGGCUGCUGCUCUUACGCAUUGAAAGGAGUUGGUUGAGAUGGGCCAGUUAUCUGAUCAGGAUGCCUCCUCGGCACCUGUCUGGAGGUUUUCCUGGGAGGAACCCGGGGCAGACCCAGAAUUGGAGCAAUUAUAUAACUUGGUACCCUCGUGACUCGAUAUUGUGACCUGAGAUGCAUCUAAUGAUGGCUUAAAGCUUACCAUGGCACAGAUGACCAAAGAGAGGUAAACAGGGUCUGCUCGUGAGAUGUAGUCUCUGUCGCUGUCACGUAGGUGCUGUGGGCUGAUUUGCAGUAGCGUCAGACAUGCCUCCAGGACUCCAGGCUCGUACUGCUCAAAUCCAAAUGCAGGGCCGACUCUGAACAUUUGCUGAAGUGCCACAAUACACCAAUCCAAAAUCACUCUUGACAUACUCCUCUAUCUGCGCUUCCUGUGGCAUGUAUACUGGAUCAUCUGAAAUGCAAUUGAGGGAGAGGGGAACAUCUUCAACAACAUAAAAGCAAAGGUGGGAAAAGGAAUUGGAAAAAUAACACAGACUCACAUCGCAGCCAAGGAUUGCAGAGCAGCGCAAAUGCUCCCACUGAGUAAAUACGUUUGUCCCAGAGUGUCUCUAUUUGAACCAGGAGCUCAUAGACACCCACCGCAGACAGAACCGGGGAGCAGAUGUGGACGAUGA